UUUUCUAUAUCAAUUUUUUUAAUUGAAUAGUUGAUUCAAUAAAAUAGUCGAUUUCUUAAUUUUAAUAAAGUUUGCUACUUUAGUUAUAGAAAAAGUCUAUUAUUUUGCUUAUAUGGCUAAUAGCCUAUGAUUAGUGAAAGUUUCAACCCCAAUGAUCUAUCCACUAUCCCUCCCCCUCUUCCUCUAUUGAUCUUUCUUUUCUUUGCUCUCUUUCUUAAACUCUUUCAAUUUCUCUUUCUUCUUUUUAACUUCACACCAUGAAUCAAUUAAGACCUAUCAUAAAAAGCCCUUUAAUUUAUUAUUUUUUUGUCGAGGUAGAUGAUCAAGGAAUAUGGACAUAUUUAUGGUGGUGUAAUACAGUGGAAUGAAGAUAAGUAGAUGGUGAGAAAUAUUUUUUGUGUUAAAAGGAUAACCUAAGCUGGUCUGGUGGAGUCUCUGACUUCUUCUUUUUCCUUCUUAUUUUUUUUUUCCUUUUUAUGUCUCAAACGAAGAAGGUGUUUGAAAGGUAUUUAUGAGUCCUCUACAGAGAUUGCACACAAUACAAGAGGUGCAUAUACAUCUUUAUAUACUGCUAGACGUUAUAUAUAUACUGCAUAUACAAUGAAUAAUGCACACAUGCGUUGUGUAUAUACAUUAUAUAACUAUGUAUAAGAGGUGUAUGUACACCUUUAUACACUACUAUACUUUAUAUAUACACUACUUAUACAUUUCUUCUAGGAUCUAGAUUUUUUUGUUUUGUUUUUGGUUGUUGGGAUUCUUUUUCAUUUUUGGAUCUGGUUUUUUUCUCCUUUUUGGUUCUUGUUGAAGAUUCAAUCACCUAAUUUUGUACUGUUGAGCCACAAAAAUUGCUAUAGGAGUUGGGGAUCAGAAAAAAAAUAAAAAAUUAAGGAAGUCAACUGAGGCAUAAGGAGAAGUGAUGGGCGGUCAGGAUUCUGAAAUUGUUAUGGAUCAGAGAAUUGAAGUUAAAGGAGAUUUCUUCGUUUCAAAAUUUAGGUGAUAGAAGGCAAAUGAAAUAAAAAGUAACCAAUUGGUUCAAAUAAAAAAAUUAGGCUAAACGAUUAUAAACUGUUUGUUUCGCUGGUACAUAUACGUAAAAACUCCUUUAAAAAAACUGACAAUUUUAAUUCUCUUUGGGCCAGUAAUAACAUUUAUUUAUAGGGAUUAUUAGUAGGUAGGUAGCGUCGUUCUACUUAUUCUUCAUAGUAGUGGUUGUAGUAUCACUCUUGUAGUUUAUUGUCCUUUAAUUUCUGCACUGAUCACGCCCAACUCUUGUACUAAAAAGGAUAAGCGGUUGCUGCAUAUAUAAUCCGGUCUAAAAGUCCGGAGUCAAAUCCCACAGAGAACUAACGUUAGAUAUAACUAUUCAAUAUUACUAAGAAAAUAAGUUCGAACAAUAUUCUGAAUUAUAAAGAGUAAGAUUUUUCUUUUAAACUAGUUAACUCAUAAAUAAUAAAGUAGUAAAAAUUAUUAGCUAAAGAGGAUGAAGUUGGAAACAAGAUUAAGGAGGUCUAGGGUCAUGAUUUCCCCAAUCAUCGGAAUCCAUCUCGCUAUGUUAUCCAUAAUCUCGCCGAUUUAUUCUCUACGGAUUGUGAGCACUCAACUUAUCUUAAUUCUCUCUCGAGCAAUCACAAUAGUUUACUAGACGAAUUCUCUCGAACUACUCUAGCUAGCAAUUUCUCACCGCUCACUAUGACCACCUCAAAGCUUCGUUAUCUCUAAUCCCGCUUUUAAACCCUCCCUAUUUUAUCUCUCAUAUACCUAGGGAGUGACGUUGAUUAACAACUAUCUAAAUAUGUGUUCUCUCUCGAGCAACACAUAACAAUAGGAACAAUUAAUCGAUGGCCGUUCAAUCAACUGAAAUAAGCAUGUAAUUGAACGAGUAGAAAAUCCAACGGCUCAAUUAUAUAAAAAUGUAACAAGAAUAUUUCAUCCUACAAAAGGUUCCAUCAAAACCCUAGAAAAGAAAUCUAGCUACUCAAAAUAUUAUUUAAGAACAUAGCAUAGAAUUCCAUAGGAACAAGUAAAAGAAUGGAAAAAAGUGAAACUCUAUGGCGAAUUUCCGUCGCUUCCGCUCUAGCAUGUUCUUUCCUCCCAAUGUCGCCUCCAAAAUACAGCCUCCCCCUCAAAAGAUGUCGUUUUGGGUUUAAAUACAACCUAGUACGUGUACGAGGUCUCCUUUGCCAAGCCCAAUUCGAAAUAGAAAAACUGGACUGGCUCGUCUAUGGGCUCGCGUGGCGAGAAGGUUGACGAGCCCUCUCAGGCAUGUUUUUGGCCUGGCUCGUCUAUGAGCUCACAUGGCGAGGAGGUUGAUGAGCCCUCUCAAGCAUGUUUUUGGCCUGGCUCAUCAACUUCCUUGCCAUUCCUUCGCUUCACUGUUUUGCACAUGGCUUGUUCUCCAGGCUUGUCUAGGCGAGCAUGGAAGACGAGCUCUACUUCUUCGAUUCUUUAUUUUCUUGACUCCACUUGCACCAAUUCAUUCCUUCCAGUCCGUUUUCGUCCAACACAC